rnacentral:lncRNA from 1 species
CACAAACAAAUGAUGCAAAAUUUACUCUGUGCAAGAUGCGCAACAACACUAAAAAUUAUCAUCUUUAACAGUUAUUACUAGAACAGAGAACUUGUUAUUUGAAGAUAUUACAACUAUGGAAGAACCUUUACCACUGCACAUGAGGUCAACGGUUUAGGCCACAAUCUGAGUUUAGGGUUGCAUAAAGGACAAAGGGAUUGGAAAGGGAAGUAGGAAAAUAUCCAAAAAACAAUUAAUAUCACAUUAAACCGGUAUAUGGAAAAAUGACAUAGAACGUGAAUUAGUCAAACCUCCUCCAUAUGUGGUUUAGUCGAAACUGAAUGAACUUCCUUUCAUUUAAAAAAAAUAAAGUUACAUCUCCAAUCUGGUACUGAGAGCAAGUCAUUAGUUUUGAAGAUUAUUUUACUGAAAUACCUUUCUCAUUUAUUUCUUAUACAUUUUGACAAUGAGAUAAAUACUACAUUGUUUCUGAAAAUAGAAAAGAACACUAAUUGGGUAGAAUUAUUAGCUCCCCUGGUCGAAGAUAACCUUCUAUACUAUUUCUCGUUAUUUAAGCAUGAAGGAUUUGGUGCCUUAUAACUUGAAAUAUUGUAGUAGGGUUGACAUCGAAGAGGCUAGCAUUGACAUAAUAUUUUGAUACAGGAUACAACAUUUAGAAUUUUACAUACACCAUAACAAUUUGAAGACAAUGAAGGGAGUUAAAGGCAAAGGAGGUUUCCAUGGAAACUUGUGGCACACUCGAGCAGAAGUCACAAUCAUCAUAAGCUAUAGGGCCAGGUCCAUUCAGUUUUGCUAAAUUAUAGGAAACAUACAUGAAAUUCGUCCUAUGCUCAUUUCUUUCUAUGUACAAUGAGAGGAACUUGCACAUGUACUCAAAUGGAAUACCUGAUAUGUGUACAGUUUGACAUAUAUAAUAGGCAUCCGUUGGUUUGCUUUGCUGUAAUGUCUUAACACACGGUAGAGAGUUUCAGGUACAAAUUCUAGAACCAAAUUUAGAUAAAGCUCAUCCUUUUCUGUGGUCGAAAAGAAGCAGUGCUUCAGUGAAACAAUACUAGGAUGAUCAAGAAGUCGCAUAGUCUGCAAUUCCCGAUUCUUGUAUCUCUUGUCCUGCAAGACCUUUUUUAUUGCCACGGUUUCUCCUGUUUCAAGGCAUUUGGCCUGCAAUUUAGCUUUGAAAUCAAUGACAAUUGAUUUAGUGAAGGGGGUAAAGAUUCUUGAUUAUGGCAGUGAUUAUCUGUGACAAAUGAACAGCUUAUACCUGGAACACAAUUCCAAAGGAACCCUGUCCAACUACACGCUCCGCCAUGUAACUUAUGGUCUGAAUGUCAAAGAAAACAUUAGCAAAAAAGUUUUUAACACAAAGAUUACAAUCAGCAUGUAUAUUUAAAAGAACUUGCUCAGUUGAGAUUUAUUUAUUUGUAGGGUGAAGUAUGGAUGGGUCAUCACUCAAACAGUGCCGGUCUCGAAGACAUGGUAAUGAAGAGCAUUUCAAUUAUCAACCCAGGCUAGAAAUACAACAUUAUGUUGAGUAGGACCGUGUAACCUCGCCUAAUUAGCACUCAUCCCUAACUAUUAUAAGCUACAUCCUUAAUAAGACCGAGACCAAAGUGUUCGCCGACUCUUUAAAGAUACUAUCAAGUUAAAGUCAAGGAAAGUCAUCCCGGUCAUUAGACGCCCAUGUUAGGUCCAAUUCUGAACUUUACAGGGAACAAUAUUUUGUAAUUUCUAAAGUUCAGGAAAUAAGCCCUUUGUACAUCUGGAAAGCACCAUGUCAAUAUGGUAUGAGAAGAUUAACUAAGUUCAUGUCAUUAAAACUUCCCUGAAAGUAUGGAGUUGAUAUUAACGCCUGCUUCCUUUUUUGAGAGGACAAAGAAAAGAGAUUGUUAGAUUACAGCGAGAAGCUUGACUUUAUGUCUCACAUAACCAACAUAAGUCAUGUGAGACGCUGUAAUUACUUGACAAGUGCACUUGUGGUUAAAUUUGUUUGAUUAAAGAUUGAAACAGAAAAAGCAAUGCAAAGCUUUUCUAAAUUAAGCACCAAACAAAGCAAAAUUUAUCAAAGUUAUUCUGAGUUAUGAUGCAGCAGAUUAAUUUGAUAUAAGGCUUUUACAGUAAUAUAGUUCUACUUAUUCAAUGAAUUUAUUGGAAGGAAAGAAAAAACAUACAAAUUGAAUUUUGGAUAAUCCCAUGCCUAAUCAGAGAAAAGGGAAACAAAAUUAUGCAAUGGAAAAUAUACAAGCAUAAGUAGAAAAGCCAUGUAAGUUCAUACAAAGCACCGUCAACCAUAAGCAUAUUAAAGUAAGGUUGACCAGUAAUACAACUCCAUAUCCGCCAUGAAAAAGAGAAAAACAAGUGUUAUUCACGUCUACGGGUAUGCAUAUCAUGCAAUUUUUGGGUCCUAGUAGAGUGCCUUAUUUUGGAAACUUUUAUAUUACCAAAGAAAUGGUAAAAGAACAAGUCACUUGUUAAGCAAUUAAAGUGCCUCAUAGAAAACAUGGAAGUGAUGUGAAACACAAAAUAAAAUUUCUCGAUUACCAGUACCUGGCAAGUCAAAAGAAAUUGAAGAAAAAGAGGUAAUUACAAAGAUGUCCCGAACCAUUUUAGCCAAAAGUUACUUCUUGUUUAGUACGAUAGCUUAACAUCUCUAUCAGACAGUUACGAUUUGUUCUUGACUUAUUAUUAUUAGUUUCAAAAAUCAAAAAGAAUAAAAAAAAUAAAAGAGGCAAAAUACUUACCCUUCGGGGUGACCUAGUGGUUUGAGCUUGAGAUUUCCAUGUUGGAGGUCUCAAGUUCGAAACCCCUAGGCGAAAGUAAGGGUUUUUGCCUUCUAGGCCGAGCUCGUCGCACUAGGCUUGGCAAGCCUAGUGUGGGUUACCUCUCCUAUGUGGUUUGCGAGCUAUUGGGUAGGAGCAGGGGUUUUACCCUUACGCACCCAAAGGGUAGCGACUUCGGGUUUCCCUUGUAAAAAAAAAAAAAAAGAGGCAAAAUACUUGGUACUCGAGUACAAAACAUCUACUAAAUUGAUAAAGGAGGAUAAAGCAAUGACGCGAAGGAAAAUACAAGAACAGGUCUUUCUUUCAAUUGCCUAUGUUACAUCACAAGUGAAAAAGUUGCAUGUUUCAAAAAAAAAAAAUGUUACAUCACAAGUGAAAGAAAAGAUAAUAUGAAAAUCAGGAUUAUCAGACUUUCUGAUUUCCAUAGCCGGAACAAAACUGAUUGAGAAAAGAUUUGCUCAUCAGAUCCAUAAAUAAAUUACCAGCCGUAGUAUAGAUUGAGUUUUAUUUACUGAUUUCAGAACCAAAAUGAAACUAAAGCAAAGGGAUAUUUCAUGAAAUCCACGAGAUCAAUGCCAUUUAAUCUCAAACAUGAAAAUUCUUAUCCUUUGGAUAUGUUAGUAUUUGGUACAGGCACAACAAUAAAAGAUAAGUUACAAGUGUAAAAUAACAUUUUCGAGGUUGAAUCAAAUGAUUAAAAAUGUCACCUGCUUUGGCUGACCAUUUUUCCCCCCAAUAGUCGUCACAAUGAUGUGACCUGUUUCAGUUCCAUUCCCAUCCACAACAGCGGCUUCCAUUUCCUAUCAGGAUAUCACAGUGAGAAUUGCUAAGGCAGACAAGGAAAAAAGAAAUUAGAUAAAGAGUAUGCAUCCUAUUUCCAAGAACAACCUUUCCUUCUUUGUCAUCGUUGAUCUUCAUUGCAUUUAUUUCUUUAGGUAGGUUGUCAAUAAGCACAACAUCAGUAAUAGGUUUGCCAGCUGCUGAAGACAUAAUACUGCCCGAAGCCAUGUCACUGAAUAACAAAUAAACUUCCUUAUAGUACUGAUAAAUGGUUAUGACUCAAGUGACAGAUUGUCUGCUUCUCAAAACCUGAAUCACAAAGAUACAUAGUUCAAACAGGACGCCGGUGAUGCCGCACUUACAUUCACUGUUGUAUCAAAGGAGAUAAAAGAAUCCAAAAAUUGCAGUAUGUAGACAUUUAUAUAACAAGGAACAUUACUGAUCCAAGCAGGACCCCAUCCACUUGAUGUUAAGUUAACAUGUCAAAGGCGUGCUACCACUUUCUUGACAUAUUUAAUGUUCAUGUGCGCCAUAUGACCAUAUCUAUGAUGAUAAGGCAUAACUCCCACAUAUAAAGACAUGAAAUAUUAUUAGUGCUACCAAGACUCUAUUAACAUUUUGAUAGGAGAAGUGAAUAAGUCAAACAGAAGUUGUUGCAUUAAUACUGAGACAACUAUCAACAAGCAACAAACAGAAGUUUUGUGCUUGUUGCAAACAUAGAGCAGUAUGUUAUAUUUAAUUUUCAAAAGUUAAUCAUCCUGAAAUCCGGUUUCUUAGUUCAUAUACGUGAUUAAGUACUCAAAUUAAUCAAGUAAGUCUCUAGAAGAUCGCAAAAUCAGCUACCACUGUUCAAAGAACUCCUGGACGCUUAAAAAGAACUUCUAUAACAGCCUCCGAAAUUUUUUAAUUGGAAGAAAAACAUAGGUUUCAACAAAAUUGCAGCCAUCUUUUUAACAUUAAGAACCUUCAUAGGAAGCAUGCGAUCAAUUAUUCAUAUUUAUGAUUAUUGCAUAAACCAAAAGAGUACCUGCAGCGGUGAAGUGAAUUGCUCGCAUUGGCGAUGGAAAAUUGUGAGUGAAACAGCAAAACCCUAAGCGCGGAAGAAAUAAAGUGGAAGUGAAAAUGGCGUAUGGCCAAGUUUUCAGGUUCUUGGCUAUAGACUUCUGCAAUGCUGCUCUUCUUUCAUUUUUCUCACUUUGUGGAUGCUCUCAGAAUAUUGAUGGAGUUGGCGGACCCCAACUAAUUUUAUCCAUUUUCGUUGAUUGGAAGUUUGGGCGUCCGAGAUAUCUACGUGUAAGGUUCUGAUUGGUAUUUGAUAUGCUUACGUCAUUAUGUUGACUAAUACAGUGUUAAUUCUGUUCCUAGCGAAAAAAUCUGUGUGCUCUACAACUCCACGUAAGCGGAUGUUAGGAGUUUUUAUUAUUUUUUUUCUUCAAAAAAGGGAGGUGUGGCUGAUCAAAAAUUAAUGGUCAUAUCACCCUGUUUCAUCUAAAAAAAUAAUUUUUAAAGUAAAAAAAUAUAUUUAAAUUUUGUAGUUUAUUUGGACAUAAACAUAAAUUAAAGUUAUUUUUUAAAUAAUCUAAAGUGAUUCUUCAAAAUUUAAAAUUUAAUUGGAAUACAUUUUAACAUUCUCAUUAGUAUAUAAUAAAAUAUCUCAAAGAAUUGAAGAAAAUCACAUAAGGUCAAUAUUAAAAUAUAGUUAAUUCAAAUUGAAGUAAAUUAAACAAAUUAAAAAAUAAGAAGUAACUAUUAAGUUUAAUUUUCUACUAUGGUUAAUUAUAAUUACAUCAUUAAUAAAAUUUCAAAAAUAUGUGGAUAAUAAUGAGCAAGAGAUUAGCUACAAAUUAUUACGAAAAAAUUAAUUAAUAAUAACAAUAAAUACAUAAUUUUUGUAUAUUUUGCUAAUUAAGAAUAGUAACAUUUUACGUCUUCAAUUGUUUCCUGUUCACCUUGGGUGUGUUUUCUUAUUUGAGCAAACUGAAUUUGGGGGGAUUUUGGUUCUUUGGCAGCCCUUAUUUUUUAGGGCCUAAAAUCACUGCUAUAGUGGCUGAGCCGCCUUGCUCCUAAUCUCUAUAAAAACCACAGCAUGAUUGAUCAAUUAUAUUUUGAUGGGAAAACUGCCAUCACAAAACAUCAGCAGUGGCUGUGAAGGGAUAAUUUAUUGCUCACAUAUACAUUACAAGCUGUUCAUUUAGCCUGUAGUUCAUGGAUUGCCUUUCAGAGGUAUAACAAUUACCAAGAAAAGAGUUUAAAAACCAUUCUGCUGGGGAACUUAUGGAACUUCUCUUGAGUUGUUUUUCUCCACACUGAACUACAACAACCCAAGUGUUAAACGACAAACUUGGUGUUCAAUAUUUGAUCAAAUGUACUUAACAGUUCUUUUUCCAUACAAAUUUCUGUGGUAACCCUAUCAUUCCUAAACAGAGCAGUAUCAGUACAAGGAUAAACCUCAGAGGCCACACUUUUGGCUAGUUUCACAAAGCACAAGUGUCUAAAUUAAUGGCAUAUACCAAAGUUCAGCAAAAGCUGGCAAUCCCAUUUUGUGCUUCAUCAUACAAAUACUGCAUACAUCAAGUAGCAAGUGUAAAGCACAUGCAGUAAAACAAUAAGCAAAUGAAAUAAAGGUAAGGCAUCAGAAACCUGAGAAGAUUUCAUAGAUCCCAGUAAAUUCAUGAUUUGCCAAAUCCAACAGCAGCCUUCUUUAUUUUUCGUGUAUUUAUGCUUUCAGGGGUUGGCAACCCAGUCCUAUCUUCAUAUUUCUUUUCUAGCGCCUGUAAAAUCAGUUACAAAGAUGAGCAACAAAAUACUUGGUGCAACACCUGCCAGAUGUUUAUUCCAACUUUAACAAUCAUCCACUAACCACUAAUUUUUCACGAAUGGUGUCCAGGACUUCGUCAGUCAUUUUGUCAAAGAAAAGAACUCCCUGCACAUUGCUGACCUAAGUUAAAAAGAAAUGUCUUACGGGAACUAGGUCUUGUAUUUAAAGCAAAUUGUGCAUUCAUGUAAUGAAUAUUCAUCAAAGACUGCAUACACACUAUACAGUACUACAGAUAUCUGAAUUCAACCAGUAGCACUGUUAAGUAGUCUUAUAAAAAGAAUCGACCAGGGAAGACUCCUGAACUCGAGCCUAUCGGGUUCUUACUUUUUUUAUAUUACACUGCUCAGUGUCUAGUUACUGCAACUGGAAAGACAUAUAGAACAUAUUUUCUGAAUAAAAGGUAAAUGCGAAAAAAAAAAAGUAAAUGCAAUGGGAAAAUGUAUGAGCAGGAGAGCCUGCUAACCCCAAACAACAGUAAUUUUUGGGAAGGUACAGUUAAAACAGAUCCUGCAUUUAUAGAAAUGAAGAAACACCUGUAGGUGAUCAAAUUCAUGUUGGAAGACUCGUGCUGGAAGAGCAGACAAGCUUAUCUCAAACCUUGUACCAUUAAUGUCCUGUGCGUCAACCUUAACUGACUCUGGUCUCUGCAAACACACAACAUAUAUAAAUAAUCUUGUAACAAUUUAGAAAGUCAGAAAACUUCACAAUUCAAAUAGCAGAUUCAGGUUCCUAGACACUAAAGCAGUUAGCAACAAAGAUUCACCAGGUAAGCUUUUGUAAAAUGCAAACUGUUUUAGGAUUACAGUUCUACUUCAAAUACUUUUGAAUUUUUUUGGACAAGUCACCCAAAAUCCAAGCAGCUCUAUUAUGUAAGCUCUUUACCAGGUUAAUGAGCCAGAAGAAGAAUUAUGAUGUAUAAGUUGGAAGUUACUAGUUCAAUAGGGACACUUGCAAACUAGAGGAUUAGGAUGUCUUUGGCAUAAGUCCUUGAGAUGCUGUCUAUCUUACAUUCCUGAAGCACAACAACAAAAUUGACCAUUCAUAAAAAGUUAGAUACAUGUAGUCUGUAGAACUGCUGAUAUGACAUCUGUAUUUUUCCUAAAGCAAUAGAAGUUGCUGGUUUCUGUAAAAGUUCGACUAGCUCAUUGGAGCAACUUUUCCAGGAGCAAGAGACAGCAAGUCAAAUUCUUCAGAAUGGUGUAGCUACCAAUUCAACAACAUAAAUGCUAGGAAAAACCCUCAUGAGGUUGCAGAUGUGCCUUACCAUCCUUUCAGAUAUAUUCACGACUAACCUCAUGAUGUCAUGAGUUGGUACAUGGUAUCAUGCGUCCACUCCAAGCAAGUUAGGUUUGGCUAUAUAAAUUGUCAUUGGGUAUGUCACUCCAUUGAGGCUCAUCUUACACCAAUAUUAUACAAGAUAGAAAAUAAAACGUACUUGGAGCUCUCUACCAUUUCUUAAGUUUCAUUUAAGAUACAUAUAUAUAUUCAACACACAAACACUAUUUUUUAAAUAAGAAAAGUAUCAACUGCAUAGCAGAUUCUUGAGGGAUUUGGACAGAUUACGUCAAUCAUAUUUGAUCCCACUCGACCACGGGGUUCAUAUUAUCUCUCUCACAGACAGAGAGUAAGGCAGUAGAUUGACUCGCGAUCAGACAAAGAAUGGUUUACAGGUCCAAGUACCUUAACAUCACCAUGUAUCAUUGGAAAAGAUAAGCAACCUUCUUCAUAAGGUAUAAUCCUCCUAGAAUAUCUACUGACACGUGGAUUGACGAGAACAAUCUCCUCCCCCUCUCCACGUUCACCGGCUGCAUUAAAUACCAUUAGUUGAACAUUCAUUCCAACUUGUGGUGCAGACAGCCCAAUGCCAUCAGUUCUGCAUAUAUAAUAUCAAAGCCAAGCAUCCUUUAAGGUCCUCUGAAUAGCAAGCUUUUCUUAUAAACAAAAUAAAACUAAUGUAUCUAACAACUAAAACAUCAACAAUCCAUCUAUUCUUAAUUCAAUAAAUCAGUCAGUUACACCUCAAUUCCCAACUAGUCGGAUUCCACUAUUCUAAAUUUGUGUCAAAAUCCAUCUAUUCUUAAUUCAAUAAAUCAGUCAGUUACACCUCAAUUCCAAACUAGUCGGAUUCCAUUAUUCUAAAUUUGUGUCGCCAUAACUAUUUUUGUUUUAUUUUCAACAUAAUUAGACCUCCACCAAGAAUAAUCUCUUCCUAUAUCUAGGUUUGGGAUCAGUCAUGCUUUGCGAAGCUCCAAUAGAUUGAGUUAUCCAGUUUACUGAUUGAACAACUGAUUUUUGCAUUAAAAUAAGUUAUGAAAACUCAAAAGGACAAGUAGUUAUGGAUUGUAAGAAACGGAUGGACUCACUUGUACAUAAUAUCGAACAUUUCAUCAACUAACUUCUUCAAAUUAGCGUCAAAAUUGUCAAUCCUCUUAUUCUUCGCUCUUAAAAUCGGGUCUGGAUACUCCACAAUUUUCAAUGGAACCACGAAGCUCAAGUCAGCAGCUACCACACACAAAAAGAAGAAUUUCAAUCUGCGAAAAAGAAAAUUGACCACAAAUAGAUUGAUUUUUAGGUCAGAAUCUAGAAGGAUGCUUACGAGUUGCUAUUUCAUCUCCUUUGGUUUUGGAAGAUAAAACUCGCCUAGCUUGAGCAUAAACAGCUAAUUUUGGAGGUUUAUUACUGCUUGCGGAGAAAAAUAAACAGUUAGCUGAUUUAUAUCGAUGAAGACUGUAACUGAUAGGGGAGGGAGACGAGUUCCGACUGAGGAGAGGCCGGAGAAAGCGAGUGAACGAAGAAGAAGAUGCCCAACUUGCGGCAGCCAUUGCCAUUUGCCACACAACAAAACGGACAAUUUCACCUCUACAGAUGCAAAUAUUACUAAUUUUGUCCUUCGUGUAUUGUUACACUAGAAUUUUAGACCCUAGAUAAUUCUCUUUUUAAAAAAAAAAAAAUCUACUCCCUCCAUUUUAAAAAAAAAUUACUCUUUUUUUUUACAAUAUUUUAACUUUAACUUUUCACAUGAUAUUUUUAAGAUCACAAAACUAAAAAAAAUUUUAAUACAUUUAAUAUAAAUUUAAAUUAAGAUCACAAAAUUAAAAAAUUCUCUUUUUUUUUCUUGAACACUCACUCCUGAGACAAUCUUUUUGAAUUGCAAGUUUGCAACUCCAAAGAGGACAUUACUACUACAAGGUAUUGUUGAUUCUUCCUAUUGUACUGAUAAAUAAAGUGAUUAUCUUGAUGUUGUCUAUUUAGAGAAUUGCUAGAAAUAUAUUUUAAAAUUUUAUUUUUCGUUUAAUAUUAUCGAUAAAGGGAAGAAAAACAAGUAUCUUAAGAAAAAAGUGUAUAUUGAUUAUAUAAUAUUACAUUGGACCUUGCAAUAUAAAAUAUAAGAAUUAAAACACGUAAUAUGAAAAUAAAAUAUAUAUUUAUAAGAAAUCAUGACGUCAUUCAAUGUUUGCAAAAAAAAAUUUGGGGUGAGUUUCGGAACGGGGUUUACUAAAAAAGCUUUGGAGUGUAAAUUUGAAGGCAUUAAUUCAUAAAGCAUAAAUUUUAAAAUGUGAGGUGUAAGUCUCGAGAAUAAAAACGUAAGUACAGACAUUUUUUUUUUUAAUUUUUUUUACUUUAAAUCGUAUUUUUUUUAACUGUUGGUGUAAUGAUAUUUCUCAAACAGUGAUUAUAAUACUUUUUUCUUCAUUAUUAAUUAUUAAUACUUAUCUCAAAUGAAAUGCAUAAUACAAUUUCUAUAUAUUAUAGGUUAUUUGUAAAAUCAUUCAAAAUUUGCUUUUGCUUAUUUUAUUAGGGGAUAAGGCACAAGUAUCCCUUUAAUCUAUGUCCAAAAUUUCAGAAACACACUUAUACUAUAUUAAGGUCCUAUUAUCCUGAACUUAUUUUAUAAAUAAAUUUCUACCUCUUUUCGUCUUAUGUGGCACUAUCUUGUGGGCCCAAUGUGUGUUGACAUUUUUUUUCAAACUAAUGCCGAAAAGGGGUAGAAAAUUAUUUGUAAAAUAAGUUUAGGGGCUAUAGGAAUUAAGUAUAGUAUAAGUGUGUCUCUGAGAUUUCAGGCAUAGGUUAUGCAUUUUCCCUUUUAUUAGUAAUAAAACUACAAAAUUGAAUAUAUAUGAAACCCCGUAGAUUCAUGAGACUUACGCCCCCGUGUCUCGGCGCAUAUACCUAGCUCAACUGUAUAAAAUGUCUCGUCUCACGCUCCUACCUUUUAAAUACUUGUCAUUAGUAAUUUGAUGUGUUACUUAUCUACAUGAUUAUACAAAAAAUUACAAGAAGCGACAAAAUAUUUAAUUUUUUAGAAAACAUAUGCAUAGUUAUUAUAGCACAACUAUAAAAUAAUUUUUAUUAUAUCUAUGCACUUUUUUUUUAUACAACAUACUCUUUUUUUUAAAAAAGAAAAAAAAGGAUGAGGUACUCCUCGUCAUAUAAGCUUACAAAAAAUUCUAGAAUAUAUAAUUAGAGGUAAUCAAAUAAAAUUUAACUAGGUCGAAUAUAAAGUUAUCCUUCUUCACUCGAAUUUUAAUAUUGGGCUUACUAACUAUAUCAUUAUUCAAGGUGGAAGUAACCUUAGAAGGAAAGUUUAUGGCCUCGGUGAAGAAGGCCAUAACUGUACACAUGAAUGAUUAUAGUAACACCAAUGAUUCUAGAAAUAGGAAUUUCAACACCUUCAUGUUUGAAAUUGCACCUAUAACUGUACACAUGAAUCAUUCUUUUCGAUAAAUAAUUUUUAAUUAUUAAUUAAAAAAUAAAAAAUAACUAAAAAGAUGACUUAUUUAUGUAUUUUGUUAAUUGAUUUCUAAUAUAAUAGAUCAUGUCAUAUAUUUUAGAGACAAUAAUAUAUUAAUUAAAAAUCAAUAAAUAGAUAUACACAAAAAUAAAAGUAUGAUGUUUUUAUCUUCAUUCAUUCGCAUAAUAAUAACAACAAUAAUAUAAUAAUAAUAAUAAUAAUAAAUUUAAUUAACAAAAAAUGCUUAAUUGAACUUUUUAUUAUAUUGGUUAAUAGAGUUUCAUAACUUCAUUUCUGCUUAAUUGAACUUUUUAUUAACAUUUGAUUGAGAAUGUGUUAUUUCUGAAAAAAUACUAGCUUAUAAGCAUGAAAAAAAUAAAAGCUAGAGAAAAGAAAAUUUUUACUUUAAUAUUGAUAAAAAUAAUUUUGAAAUUGACUAACCAAAUACAAAAUACAAAAUGUUAAUUUUCAAAAAGAACUAAAAAGCAAAAAAAUAUUUAUGACCAAAGAUACUAGCAAAUUUUGAAAGUGGGUGUAACAAACUUUAAAGUUGAACCACUUUAAAAAUCCUUUCCAUUUUUGGUAAGUGGUACUGGCAGCAAGUCUCUUGAGAAGUCAUAGUCAUAGUAGAUACAUAGAAGAUUGAUUAAUAGUGCCCUUGGAGUAUUAUGAAUUAGGUAUAAUCAUUUGUCAUCCAUAACAUUUUUCUUUAAAAAAAAAAAUUUAUCAAAGAAAGACAACAAGGGGACAAAAUAAUAAAAAUACUUCAAAUUUGAAAAGUAUGGUUUACACUAAAUUAAUGAAUCUUUAAAACAAGACUAAUUCCUAACAAAUCUCACAUCUAAAUGGUGCUCCUUUUGGAUAAUGCAAGCAUUAUUAACCACUCAUUUAUCCUAGGUAUUAAUGGACUUGUCUUCAUAAUUAUUUUAUUCCCAAAUAUAUAAAGCUUGACACUUCAUAUUAAAAAGUUAUUUGGUAGUAAUAUUACUCUCAACUUAAUUUUUUUUAUUCUUUUUGUGAUCAUAAAUGAAUGAUAUUUUUGUAGGGAUAUACAAAUAUUAAUUGGACAUAAACCAAAUUUAUAGACGUAAAUUGACAGCUUAUUUUAAAUUGCUUUUUAAAAGAAGAUUGACAAUAUACAUGAUUACAUUUUUAGAUUAGAAUCCAAGGGAAAAGGAGAAAAUAGAAAAAGAGAAAUAGAUGUGGGAAUAAAGCAGUAAAAAGUGGGUAAAGGUCCGUGAAAAACUGACACGUGGCCCAUAAACUGUGUUGCCACUUUUUUCAACUAACCAUAACAUAAUUUUUAACUAAAAUUCUAUAUUUAUAUUAAAACAUUCACGUGAUAUAUACUCGCUCCGUUAAAAAAAAAACUUCUCAAUUUUAUAAUUAUGUCAAAAUAUUUUAUAAUAUUGUGAUUUUAAAUAUAUCGUACAAAAAGAUGAAAUUAUGGUAUUUAAAAAAGGGAAAAAAGUAAUUUUUUUAAUUAAAUAAAUAUAAAAGAUGAUCAUUAUUUUUUACACGAAAAAAGCAACUUUCCUUAUUUAUUUAUUUUCUCUAUAAACUAAUUUCGUAAAUCAACUUAAAAUCUUAUUUAUUUAUUUUCUCUAUCUCAAAUUAUCUGUUGUGAUUUUUUUUACAAGAUAUCUUUAAAAUAUUCAUUCUAUCCUUAAUUAUUUGUCUAUCUUGACAAAUAAAAAAAAGAACAUUUUUUUUCUAAUAUACCUUCAAUUUAUUGCUUAGAAAAAAAAAUAAAACUUUUUGAAAAUCUAAAUUUUUAAUUCAUUCAAUUCAUAAUUAAUAAGAUAAGAUAGUAAACCCACUAUAUUAAUCAUUAUUCUUUUAAUAGGUGUGUCAAUUUAAAAAUAAACAAAUAAUUAACCACAAAAAAGUAUCAAUUAGGAGAUUUGCUUUUUUAAAAAAAUAAAAUAAAAUUAUAGUAACUGUUUUACUAUAUUUCGUAUGUACUCCUCGUGUCUUCGAUUUUACAUUCGAUGGCCUUUUUAAGGUAUUUGUACUUCUCUCUAGGACAAUAAAAAUAGCAUUAAUUAAGGUUUUGGUCAUAUUGGCAAUCAGUUUAUGUUUACUUCACAAGGUGGUUAUGGUUAAAGACCGUUAAAAUGGGAGUAUAUUAGAUUGGUAAAUAUGUAUAAGUAAUUAAUAAUAUGAUAAAAAGUAAAUUAGCUAGCAUGAUAUUCAAUGUUAAAUUUGACUAAAAGUACAUAUUUUUUCUCCCCAAUCCAUGUAUACACAAAAUAAUAAAUAAUCAAACGUAAAUUUAAAAUUUGAAAAAAAUGUUAUAUUAUACGAUACGUAAUUAUAAAAAAGCUUAAUUUUUCCCUAAAUGCUAUGUUUGGAUGAUUUGUGCGUAUCAUAAACGAUCCGCCACGAUCAUCUAUCGUUUUAAUUUAAAUUCUAAUAUAAAUUAUCCAAAUACUCGAUUGACCCACAGUAAAUACUCUACAAAACAUGUAAUUCACAUUUCAACACCAUUUUCACAUUUCUUUUUAUGUUGGUCUACUUCCAUUUAGACUGAUUGGGAUUUAGAUGUAAUUUCAGAAGGAUUCAAUUCACAAAAUGGUUAUGAAAUGAUUUUCUUGUGGUGGUUGAAAUUAAUUAUAUGGCAGUGUUCAAUGAAGCAAUAAUUAUUGUUCAAAUACGCCACAGGAUUGACUGUUUUAAUAGUAUUUUGAUUAUAAGGUCGAUAUUGACUUUAAGACAUUUAAGUAUCUUAUGAUGGACGCAAAAAAGGUCAAAUCGUAAAUCCAAAAAGUUCUUCUAGUACUUUAGCAAUAUUCACGUAACGCAAAGCAAACACAAAAAUUAUAUUUAUUGAUCUAAUUAUAAUUUAGAUAGUUGCGCUUCAUAACAAAUAUAAAUAUGUAUAUUUCGCUAUACAUAUAUAAAAGAAAGCAAUUAAAUAAUUUUGAUACACAUGUAUAAAGACAACAAUUAUAUAAUCUGCUUUGGUAUACCUAUACAAAAAGAUCAAUAGUAUACUCCAUAUUUGUAUAAACCGAAAAGAGAGAAAAACAAAAGAAAACUGGUUACGAAAAAAAUCAUAUUUGUAUAAUCAUAAAUGUAUAAGACGAAAAUAUAUGAAUUUGUAUUUGUAUGUACUAUUUUCUCUCGCUUUAUACAAACACAAACGCAAUAUAUACAUUUGUGUUUUUAUAAAGUGAGAGAGGUGAGUGAGCGAACGAGAUCUGGAAGAGGGUAGAGAGGGAAACGAAAAUAUAUGUAUAUAUAUACAAUUUUCUCUCAUUUUAUACAAACACAAACGCAUUUUAUAUAUGAUUUGCAUUUUUGUAUUAAGUGAACGAGGCGAGUGAGUGUGGGCGAGCGAGAUCUAAGAGAGGGGAACAAAAAUAUAUGUAUAUAUAUAAUUUUCACUCGUUUUAUACAAAUACAAACGCAUUUAAUACCGUUGCUUUCGUAUAAAAGCGAGAGAGCCGAGGAAGAGAACUAGAGUGGUGGGUGAGAAUCACUAGGAGAGAAGCAAAAUAACAACAGUUUGUUAUGAAAUAUAAUUAAAUCAAACUAUAUUUAUAGCAUUUAAUUUGAAUUAUAAUAUAUAUAUAUAUAUAUAUAUACACAUACUUUAUACUUCUUUAUGACCAAAUUUUAUUUAUAUUAUAUAGAGUAAAAUAAAUAUACUUUAGAACUAGUGCUAACAUAUUAUCUGCCUUUUUUGUAAGAAUAAAAUAAAAUAAAAUUCUAUUUUAAUUUAAGUGAGUUACUCGUCCUCCUUUUUUUGGGAUAUGACAAUAUAGAUAUGUCUUAAUUACUCUUGCGUUAUAGAAGUAAUUAAGAAAACUCUCUAAAAGAUCACUAGCUAAAAUCGAACAGUUUAAAGCAAGUUUGAAAAAGAAAAUGUAUCGAAGAAAAGAAUAACAUUAAUCCAUGCUAACAAGAUAUCAAGCAUAAUAUAAAAGAAGAGUGAUACCAAAGUAAAAGAGGUAACAUGAGAUACAUGGAUCGGACAUAAAACAUUUGUUAUAAGAGAAUAUUUCUAUUAAUAAAAUAAUUAUGCUAAAGUAGGAAACUAAAUAUACUCGACAAUCUCUCAACUUAUAUCUUAAUUUUAGAUCUUCAUCACACUUUCAACAAGUCAAAGAAGUAUCAUAUCUUAUUUAAUCACCGAUCUUCAGUUCUCAAUUUUUUUUCAGUCCGGCUCUUCCUCCGUGCAAACCUGCAUAGCCAAGUUCUUGCACCUCCUAAUUCAUGCAUUAUACAUUUCUAUUCACAUGUCCGAAUUAUCUACCUUGUUUCCUCAGCUUGUCUAACACACAGAUCGAGGUCAUUCUACCUUAUUUCGAAUGUCUUCGUUUUUAAUAUUAUCUCUCCUAGUAUGUACACACAUACAUCUGAACAUCUUCACCCACAUUUUUUAAAAAUACAUCUUUCUAUAUUUGUUGAUCCUAACUUUCUAUUUGAUACAUUUAAAACCAUUAAUAAAUUUAAAUGACAGUUUGAUACGUGUACUUGGUACGUUGGCAUCUAAUUAAUUUAAAAUCACAAAAUUAAAAAUUAUCACUUAUUCUCUUAAACCCUAAAUAAUCAACAUCAAGCUUUUAUUUUAGAUAAUUACAUGUAUAAAUAUACUUAUAAGUGACUGGAAAAAAAAUAUUUCAUUAAUUAUUCAAGGAGCUAGGAAUAUGAUUAGAGCAAGAUUACCAAAAUUAGGCUUCGAUACAAAACUAAUAAACGUAACUAGCUGGUCUUGAAGUUCAAUUUAAUGUGCAUAAUUAAUUUCAAAAUUCCAGGAUGCAUUAUGCGUGUCUGUACAUUGAACUAGGAGGAGUAUGAUAGUUCAAACUAAUUAAAGGGAAUCACAUGUAAUUAACAUGCUCCUUUUGCCUAACUUCUCUAUUUAACUUUAAUUUUGCACGAUUCUCUUUAAUUUAAUUAAUUUCUUAACGAGGAAGAGGAUUCUUACUUGGAUACGAAUUAGUAACGGCAAAAUUAACUCAUAUUUUGGUAACCCGCCCAAUUCACUCAUUUAUUAAUAGCUUGGGUGAUUGAUUUUUUUGGAUGGGUAAAAUAUGAAUACAUACCCGUAUUUAAUCCAUAAAAAUAUGAAUAUUCAUGGGUUAGCCUAAUGGAUUUAACUCUCAACUUUUAUUCACCCAAAAUUUAUAAUAUCUGUAAAAAUGUUGUAAAAUAAUGUCUCUCUCUCUCAUUUUUUUUUUUAAUUUCAAUGUUCUUAUUAUUCUUCUCUAUAACUGAAGAGGUAAAAGUCCAAAAAAGUAUAUACUAUAUUACAUGUAAAGUAAGUGAAUCAUGUAUUAGUAUUGAUAUUGUGUAAAGUUCAUCAAGCACUCUUUUACGUCUAAAAUGGAAAUGUUCAUUCGCUUUAAAUUAAAAAUAUUUUUCCUUGUUAUUACAUAAAUUUAUUUUAUAUCUAAAAGUUAUAUGAUUUUUUUGUUGACUUUGAUUAUACAAUAAAACUAAAUAAAGUAUUUUUAACUUUAUUCAUCUAAGAAAAAAAACAUUUUAUCCAUGUUUAAUUCUAAAAUAAAGUAAUUUACUCAUGAAAAUAUGAAUAGACUUGUAUUUUACCCAAUCUAUUUGUUAUUCAACUCAUUUUCACCCAUAUAAAAAUAGGCGGGUUGAAUUAUUAUCCAUUUUAUAUUGAUUCAUUUUCAAUCUGUCCAAUUAAUCCAACCCAUUUAUUUACCACCAUUAAUACGAGCCAACAAUAAUAACAUAUUCAAUAUAAUUUCAUCACUGAAUUUGAAGAGAAUUGUGUUUAGGCAGACUUUUAUUUUUAUUUUGCAAAGGUAGAGACAAACCCAUAAACCAAUUUUUUCUCUUUGGCUAUAUAUAUUAUUAUUAUUACUACUACUACUACUACUAUUAUUAUUAUUAUUAUUAUUAUUAUUAUUAUUAUUAUUAUUAUUAUUAUAUGGAAAAAGCUAUUAUAUAUGUGAAUACGUCCGGUAGAUGUGCAAUUUGCGUGCGGCAUGUACGUCGUGCAAUAGUUUCAUUAAUUCAGAUAUUAGUAUAUAAAUCUAUUGAAUUUAAUUAACCUUUAUAUGGACUAAUUUAAUCACAAGUUAAUAAACCGUAGCAAAUAUUAAUUAGUAAAUAUAACAUAGUGUUAAAGUUCUAUGCAUAGAUAUAGAGAUCACCAUCGAUAUAUAAAAGGUCAACUUUCACAUAUUGCAAAUAAAAAAUUCAUAUUUGUAUGCUAUAGCAAAGUUUGCAUAAUUGCGCUCCAUAGCAAACACAAAACUUUAUAAUUCGCUAUAUAUAUUCAAUUGUAUAAUUCGCUGGCCUAAAUUAUAUAAUUCGCUGGCCUAUUUUCGUUGCAAUUGUAUAAUUCGCUAUCCUAUUUCACUACAAUUGUAUAAUGCACAAUUGUAUAAUUCGCUGCCUAUUUCGCUGCAAUAUUUUUAUAAAAUUUACUUUGCAUACAAUUGAAUCGAAUUAAAAUAUAUGUAUAUUGCAUAAUUAUAAGUGUAUAGCAAGAAAAUAUAUGUUUUUCUCUCGCUUUAUACAAAAACAGAAACACAAUAUAUACACUUCUGUUGUAUAAAGCUAGAGAAAAUUGUAUUUCACUGCAAUUGUAUAAUUCGUUGACCUUUUUCUCUGCAAUAUUUGUAAAAUUUGCAUUUGUCUACAAUUGAAUUGAAGUAUAUGUUUUUGCAUGUGUAUAUACAAUUUUCUCUCGCUUUAUACAAAACAGAAACAUAAAUUAUACACUUCUGUGUAUAAAGCGAGAGAGGCGAGCAGAGGGAGAGUGACGAGCGAGAAUGGGAGAGUGACGAGUGAGAUUUUUGGGAGAGAGGCGCCUGGCAAAUUUUGGCUAACGUUUGCUAUGGAGCACAAUUAAAUCAAACUCUAGCUACUCCAUUUAUUUUAGAUUAUUAGUUUGGUAUUAUAUACAAUUUUCCCUAUAUAAAAAUAUUGUGCGAUUAAAUAACUAAAAGGUACAUAUAAAGUUUUAUACAUUGAAAAUACGUAAAAUAUAUACAAAAUAAUUCAUUGAUAAUGUAAAAAAAAGUUACACUUCAAUUUAAAUCUAAUGUGAAAUUAUUGGGGUUUCUAUGCAUAAAUAGCUAGUUUCCUUGUUUACUUAUUAAAAGCAACACUAAUAUUAUACACUUUAAAUAAAUUUAACUGUCAGCGUAUAUAAUUGAUCAAAUCGAACUAAUUAAUUAGUAAGCACUAGCUCGUUGUGACCAUGCACGCACACAUCGUUGGCUGUUAUUUAUGCUCGUCAAUUAACGAUAACGACGAUUAAGUAUAAGUAAGAACUUUAUAGUAUAUAAAUUAUUUAGCGCAAGUUAGGUUAAAAGUUAAAAGACUUAAUUACUGUUUUAAAAUCUCAUUUUAGUUGUCCCCUAUAAAUAUCAGCCCCAACUAACGUUAGUUCCUCGUCAAAAUCUCCAACUACAAAAAAAAAAAAAACUUUUUUCUUCACAUCCCAUUCCUCUUCUCUUCUUUAUUAUAUAAAAAAAAUGGAUAAAAGAACAUGUGAUUCUCAAGAUGUUGAAGUUAGGAAAGGUCCUUGGACUAUGGAAGAAGAUUUGAUUCUCAUCAAUUACAUUGCUAAUCAUGGUGAAGGUGUUUGGAAUUCCCUCGCUCGAUCCGCUGGUACUAAUUGAUCGUCAUGUUUAGAUUGGGGCUUAAUUAUGUUGUAUAUAUUUAAUUUUUUUCGUGUGUAAUAGGUUUGAAGCGUACUGGAAAAAGUUGUAGACUUAGAUGGCUUAAUUAUCUCCGACCUGAUGUUCGGAGGGGAAAUAUUACACCGGAGGAACAAUUGUUGAUCAUGGAACUACAUGCCAAGUGGGGAAACCGGUGAGUUGAUUUCUUUUUCUAGCUAGGGUUUUGAUAAUUAAAUAAAAUGAUGAAAUUAUAUAAAAGAAAAUUUGGAAAAUUGUAGAAAUUUCUCCUUCAUUUUUUUAAAAAUGAAAAAUAAAAAAAAUCUCCCAUGUGUUUGUAUGUGUUGGAUGGAUAAAGAGGAAUUGUCCCAAAAUCUCUUAGAACUAGAUUUGACAUCAUGAAAGAGAGUGAUGGGGAAUUUACAACGUGUUUAAUGUAACCUAAAGUUUGGAUUUUUUAUUUAUUUAUGAUUUCUUAUUGGGUGUCAAAAGUAUUCUUCUUAAUAAUUAAUUUUUUUUAUUGAGGAUUAACUCAUUUUCCCUUCUUUUCUUCCCUAAAAUUUGUUGAAAUCCUUAGUUUUUUUCCAUUCAAAAAUUAAUCCGAUCAUAAUAUCAAAUUUAUAAUGAAUAGACCUAAUCUUCUAUUACUCCUAUCAUUUUUUAUCUUACUUUUAUUUUUAAUUUGUUUCAAAAAGUCUCUGUUAUUGUUAUUUUUUUAACAAAAUUUUAAUUCUAAAUUUUCGUAUGAUAUUUUUAAGAUCACAAUAUUUUAAUAUAUUACACAUGUCUUUAGUUUAUAAUACAUAAUUCAAAAAAAAAAUCUUAAAGUAACAUAUUUAAACAAAAUCAAAGAAAGAAAAAUUAAAACGGAUAGGGUAUUUUUGUCCCAACAUAAUUAUUAUUUUUUUGUUUUACGGCUUUGAUUUGACAGUCGAAAAAUCUUUAAGCUUAAUCAUGUAAAGUAUAUUCUAUCCAUAUUAAUUAACAUGCACAAAUUACAAAAUUAAAACAUGUCACCCCUACAUUAAAUUUUGUCAAUUUAUUAUUCUCUCUUCCUAUAGAUAUAGGUAAAAUAAAAAAAUAUAGGUCCUCAUUCAGCCACCAUAAUUAGUAAAGCAAGGACAAUUGUUCGACAGGAAUUUGGCCUUCCAUUAUUACCAUUGAAUAUGACAUAUGAAUUUAAGUUUUUGAACUUUUGCUUUUUGAGUUUUUCAAAUAUGUUAUAAUAUCUCCUUAAUAUAUAUGCACUUUACACAUGUGUAAAAAACAAAAAUUAUUUAUUUUUUCAUAUUAUCAAUAUAUAUAAAAAAUUUAAAAAAUAAUUACGGUCUCGGUUCUAUCAAAUGAAAAAUGAUAAGAAGCAAAGGCUUGCAAAUAGCUUUGAUUGAAGUAGACGGAUAACUUAUUGUUUUGGUUCAUCACAAAAAACAAGGGGUCCUUCUUGUACCUUAGAUGUUUUUAGUGUAUAUCGAAAAUAAUAUUUGAAAUAGAAAAAAAUUCGUAAAAAUUAUGUUUGAUACGGAGAAAGUCAUUUUCCAAGUAAGUAUUAGAAAGUCAUUUGCUGGUAUGCAUGUAUUUAACUGUUAAAAGGGGAUUUUUUUUCUUUCAAAAACCUCUCUUUAUAAUCCAAUUUUUUUCAUAAUUUUAGGAUCGAGAAUAUGAGGUAAUUAUCAUUUGAGCAACUCUCGGUUAUCCCUCUCUAUAUAUAGCAAAACAUUGAAACUGGUUAAAAUCACUUCCCCUUGAGGAUAGUUUAAGUUAUGUAUAUAUAAAUUAAGUUUGAUAUGAUAACUCACAAAUAGAAAGAAUAACCUUUUACAAUCAAUUAAAUUGAGCUGAUAAUGUAAAAUAUCGGUAUAUAUAACUGAAAUAUGCAUGUAUACAAGCAGUGGGACUUCAAAUAUCAGCCACAGAACAUGUAUACAACCUCGAUUCUUUACCAAAAAUUAAACGUGACUUAAAAGUUUAAUUUCAAUAUAAUCUGAAAUAAGUAGUUUUCAUUCAUUUCAUAUUUAGUGUCUUAAUUUCACUAUACACAAAGGUUAAAGAAUGAAAAGAAGAUAAUCUGUGAUCUUAAAUAUAAUUAAUAAUGUAUAUUUUAAAUUUUAUUAUCUUAAAUUUAUCAGGAAAAAUAUUGAAAUUGAAAUACUUAUUAAAUAUAUAUAUAAAAAACCACUCUUCUUGUGAUAAACUCAAAAAAUAAAAUAAGAAACGUAAUUGGAAAUGAAAGAAGUAUAUUUUAAACUAAAAUGUUAUAUAUAACAUGUAAUUUGCCUAUUUUUUUCAGGUGGAUACUAUGAAUUCUUUUAAAAGGUUAUAAUAUAGACAUAAAAUUCCAAUAAAAUUAAUUAUUAUGAUAUACAGGUGGUCGAAAAUUGCAAAACAUUUACCUGGUAGAACAGAUAAUGAGAUAAAGAACUUAUGGAGGACAAGAAUUCAAAAGCACAUUAAGCAAGCAGAAAACAUAAACAGAUUAUCAUCAAAUAUUUCGGAGAACAACAAUAUUCAACAAGCAAGUACAAGCCAAACAUCUACUAGUCUUGCAGAUUCAAUGGAAACUUACUCUGGAAAUAAUAACAACAACAACAACAACAAUAAUAAUAAUAAUAUGGGAACCACUUUUCAUCAUCAGGGCAAUUUUCCAAAUGAAAAUAUUUGGAGCAUGGAGGACCUUUGGUCCAUGCAAUUGCUUAAUGAUGCAAACAACUAAUUAAUAAUUAUCAAUUAAUUAAUUAAUUAAGCUUCUAGCUAGCUACCUACUAUAUGUUAAGUGUUAAGAAUUCCCAAUUAUAUUCCCAUAUCUAUAUGCUUCUUGGUGAUCAGUCUCUGUGUAAUACAAGUUUAAACUUUUAUAACUAUACUUAUAUAUACUAAUGGAAUGUACAUAAUUUUUUUUUAUCUUAAUAGAAUAUUCUAGAAAGGUAUCAAGCUUUAGCUUGCAUGCAAUGCAUGAUUUAUGAAGACAGAUGAUUCUAGAAACAGAGAAAAUAUAAUAAUCCGAUUAAAUAGUAUCGAACUCUAAUCUCUCUGUUUUAGUUAAUUUACGUGAUACGGUUUAAUUUUUCAAAAAAAAAAAAAACUGAAAUUUCAGUGAUUAUUUGUACAACUAUAAAUCAUUUUCUAUAAGUAAUUAAAGAGAGAAAAUUUAAAAUUAAAUUAUUUUUUAUUAUAAAAGUAUAAUAUUAUUUUUAAAUAAAAUACAAUAUGACUCAUUAAUAUAUACGGCUGCCCAACAAAAAUUAUACCGAACUAAAUCCAUAAGAAAUCGACAUGUGGAAAGGCAAUAUAACUAUUUUGAGGAAAUUAAAAUUUUGCUUUUCAAUAAGUUAACUAUUUCUGUGCAUGGCGUUGCAUGUAUAAAAUUCGACGUGAGCCUAACUCUUUAAUUACUCUUGAGAAGUCUCCACAUGCUCCCUAGCACUUCACAUCAACCUUUUCUCAUCAUAAGUAUUAACUAGUCGGGAUUUUAAUAACUCAGUUAAUUAAAUUUUUUAUUCUAUUAAUUACUCAAUAUUUGAUGUUUUAUCUUGUAAUAUUUUCUCUUAAUAAAAUAAACAGAAAUGAUAAAUGAUACAUUUUCCCUACUUAUCAAAAUUAUACUCGAUGUUUAUUCAUAAGUUUAGCUUAUUUACGCACAAUAUAAGGAUUAAAAUAGCCCAGUUAUGCAAAAUAACAAAUAAAUUUUCACCUUUAAUUUUGAAUUAUAACACAUGAUUGCGUCAUCCAAAUAUGUACUUGAAAAAAAUAGAAAGAAUAAGUAAUAGAGAGGAUAUUCAUCCGGUUAGGCACUUUAUUAAUUUUACAAUAUACUUGGGAGUACUUAUUUUGCAAGGAUAUUCAACGUCAUUAGAUGUUCAAGAAUUGGUUGUUUAUUAACAAUUAACAAUAAUCAGUAUUUCCGCUAAGAAGAGUAAUAUAUAUGAAAGAGUCCUCGCAACUUGUAAGACCUCUCUCGUUCUUUGCUUAUACUCAAUCGAGAUUUUAUUAAUCUUUACCCACAGAUACAAAUCGACACUUGUUUUCACGAUUUUAUUAUACAAUUUACACUCCCUAAUACCGUUCAUGGAAUAGUAAAAAGUGAAAAAAGAACUUUUUUUGUCUUAAAAAAGAAAAACUUGCAAAAACAGAUAACACAAACGCAAGAAGUAGAUGCCCGGUGAAACCACACAAUGGUGGUUAGGCAGAACAUAAUUACUUAAAUUUCAUAUUCAUAUUAAUUUCUUUUUAAGUAUCUAUAAAUGAUUAAUUAGAACUCAAUAAAUAAAAUAUUGAAUGACAAAAAAGACAUGGAAAAAUCACGAAUUUUGGUAGGAAUGCUUUCGCAAAAAUGCGCCCAUUUCAUUUAAUCUUUUAUUUUUGUCUUCAAAAUUUGUUGGUCUAUAAUUAUUUUUUUUUAUCCCAGACACUUAAAGUAAAAAAUAAAUAGUUGAAAAUGUCCGCAGCAAAAACAAAAAAUAUCGCAAAGAUAAUUUUUUGUUUUACAAGACAUAAAUUUAGUUGAAGUAUAUUAUGUCCAGGCAUAAGUCACGCGAUAUAAGUUACCCCUCAAGCAUAAAUUCAGUUGCAUUUAUAAAUUACGUCGUAAAAUAAGCCAAAUUAUUCCAAACACGAAAACUUUGGGGAAAAAAAAAUCAACUCUAAUACUACCCAGGACAAAAGUUUAGUGGCCCAAGUUAUAUCACAAGACAUACAAAAUAUGUUACAUAACGUCAAAUUUAUUAGAAAAGUUAUAUUACGAAUUUGAAAGAUAAAAACUAAAAAUUAUUAACCGAACUUAUUUUGUUACGGUACAAAUUCACGUAAGUGGAAUAUUGUUGUGGGCUUUAAUAGAACGAAGGUGAUACGAAAUAUAUUCCCCACAAUUUUGGUCCGCCCAUUAUUUUUCAUCACAUGUUUGUCGAGGGUAUAAAUUAUGAAGUAAUAAAGUAAUAAGCAAAAGGAGUUCAAAAACUUAAAAAGAUAAACUCCCCACGUGAAUUAUAUCACAUGUUGGGUUGGCCAUGGUAAUUUUCACCAUUCCAAAAGUUUCAAAAAGUUAAAAAAUAAAUUAUAAUUAUAAUAUAUAAAUAACAUAUUAUAAUUCACCAUUCGUAUAAAGAUUUAUUCAUUAUGAGUGUACAAAAUUAAAUAAGAAAUAACGAUUAAAUUUAAAGUACUAACACCAUUAUAUAUAUCAUUUUCGAUGUGAAUUUAUUUUUUGAUUUUUCAACAUGUUUUAGAUAAAAGGCUAAAUAUUUUUAGAAAUUUCAUAACAUUUUACUAAUAUUAUUAGAUUAGAGAGUAGAUUAAAUUAAAUAUUAAAAAAGUGUACUUUUGUAUAUGAUUGUGCUCAUCUAAUUUGUACGUGGGCCGAUAGCUCCAUGGGCCUACUAAUUUGGGCCGCCUACUAACCAUCCGUAAGCCAUUUCCACUUUUGUCUUAUUUUAUACUAAAAUCUUUAAUUUUUGCUCUCAAGACAAAAUAAUUUCUACUAAUUUUCACAUCAUUAAAUCCCACAAGUUACGUUCUUACUUCGAAACCAUGUUAAUUUUGUCCCUAUAAAACGAGAAUUUUCAUUAUUUUCCCUAUGAAAUCAUCUUUUAUCUCUAUUCUCUAUCUUUCUCUACGGUACUCUCUUCAUUCCAUCUUAAGUUAAUUUUUAAGGUAAGAAAAGUAGAUUAAGAUAUAAAUUAAACUUAGUUUUUUCAUUAUAAUCUUUAUUAACUAUUGUCAAAUUUAUUAUUAAAAUAAGUAAAUAUAAUUAAUCAUUAAUUCCAAUACUAACUAAUGAAGGGUAAUAUUGGAAAAACACUUUUAAAAUAGUUUGAAAACUUCACAAUUAAGUUAAUUUAAAAAAUAAAAAAUGUCUCAAAAAUUAACUUAAUAAGGAACGGAGGUAGUAUUAUUUUUCUUAGCUUUAUUAUUUUAUAAUAAACCUGCAAACAUCUUCACUAAAUCGGAACAUAGUUACUUGAAAUGAGAAACUUAAAUUUUAAAAAAGAUUCAUCACCGUUGAAGUCUGGUAGCGAAACUGGGAAGUUGGUACGGGCUUUGAUUCGAUCAUGUCUAGUUCAGAAAGAAACUUCAAUAUUCUUUAAGACUUGUAUGUGACUUCUUUUCCUUAACAAUAAAUCAUAAAAAAAAGGGCAGACCCUAAUUUUUCUUCGAUAGACGAAACAUCAAUAAGUAUAUUAUUAUGAUAUUACAAACUUAAACACAACACAAACAUAGAUUCAACAAGAUGAUAAAAUGUUUUUAUAGCUUAAAAGCUUACAACAAACAUCUUUACUAGCAAAUUGAAAAACCAUUAUUCCUUAUUAUGUUACUCUUAUGUUGAUAUUAUAGCAACAUAAAUCCCCUUAGGCCUUAAUUAUCAAAAGUUCAACUGAUCAUAUUUUGAGUUCCUGUCAGGGUAAAACAGUCCAAAAUGUCUCUCAGUUUCAUCCCCUCCUUUUCCUCUUUCAUCAAACAUUGCAAACAAAAAAGUCUCAAUUUCCCUUCCAGGCUUCUUUGGAGUGCCAUUUCCAACAUGAUUAAUCACAUUCGUGUAAUAAGUCCGCGCAUUAUCAGUAGUUGCAGCAGGGUGUCCAUAAGAAGGCCAACCUGUUUCCGAAACAACAAUUUCCACAUUAGGUGCACCAGAUUUCUCCAGAGCGUAGUACAUACUAUCGACUAACGCGUCAAAAAGAUUUUGGUAACCAGCUGAGUUUGUUCCUGAAUCUGUAAACAGGGCAUAGGAUAGCGGUAUAUCUUUCGUAUUAUAAAUGUAACUGAAAUACGGGUAAAUAUUUACUAGCAACGGCAAAUUGUUGUCUCUAAGAAGUUUCACUAUUGGAUCAGUGAAACCUCUCCAAUCAGGAUUAAACAUGCUGUUUUGUGGAGGCCAUGUAUUUGUUAACAAGGCUGAAUAUGUCGCGGUUGAGACUUUGAUUUGAUCUUGCAAUCCUGCUUCUACUAUCGCGUUAUGAACAUUUUCAAUAGCAGGACCAACAAAUGUAGCAAGUUGUACGUUCUUUAUUGGGCUGAUUUCAUUUCCAACCGCGAUAUACCUGAAUUUAACACUAGGGAAAUAGGCUUUUAUGUUAUUGUUUACCCAAUUUCUUGCUUGAUUUGGAUCUUGUGCUAGUGUUUUGACAUGUUCAUUUGGGACAUCAACAAGGACUUCAAUGUUACUUCCCCUUAGAGCAUUAUAAACAUUUGUGUCUGGAUAAUAAAUUCUUAUUUUAUUGAUACCAUUGGCAUGACAAUGAUUUACAACAUCAUAUUCUGAUGGCAAAUUAUCAGCCAUUCUUCCAUAACAUACCCCAACAGAGUAUACUCCUGCAAUAUUUGAAACAAUAAUUUAGCAAAAAAAAAAAAAAGAGAUCCAAAUUAAAUCUCAACUUAUUAUUAAUUUGUACUAGAUGUGACAUGAAUAGAUAAAAAUGACUUUUAACUUAUAUAUAUGUACAUCGGCAAACGUAAGGAAUUUCUAUCUUCGCUAUCUAGGUUGAGCCAAUCAUUUUUAAAAUUACAAAUCUCAUUUAAUUUUAAAUUUAAAAAUGAAAUGCUCCCUCCGUCGCGUUUUAUAUGUCAUGCCGUUCUAUAAUCAUAUAUUGCCUAUUAUAUCCUUGAUAGUAGUUAAUUAAUCUUGAAAAUAUAUUCAUCAUUUAUUAUAAAGUUGACUUAUGAAAACAUUAAAUAAGGAUAGAAAGGUAAAAUUAUAUCAUUUCUUAAUGCAAAUGCAUAAUAAAAAGAUGUCAUAUAAAAUAGGACGGAGGGAGUAGUGCUAAAACAUUAUUGAUGUAUAAGUUAAAAAGACCUAAUAAUAUUUUUAGAUCAUUAAAAUCUAAAAGCUAAGAUUCGUUACACGCUACAAUAAGUUAAUAUUUGACAUGAUAAUAUAUAAAAUAUUUAUAUAAAUGGUAUAUAUUGCUUAAACUCUAAUUAUAUAUAUAUCAAAAACAUUCACAAAGAAUAGAAUGAACCUAAAUGUUUUUUUUAAAAAUUUCAUAUAAAUUGAGACACAAGAAAUAUUUUGAGAGACCUGUUAUUUGGAGGCCACACAUUAAUAGUAUAAACAAUGCAACCAUAGGUACAAUAGAGAAACUCUUGGUGAAGAGAAAAAGAAGAGACAUUAUGAAAAUGUAACAAGAAAGUUUCAAAUGGAGAAUUAAUGUGAAUAACAUAAUCAAACAAUUGCUUCUUAUAUAGAGAAGAAGCACUAGAUUUAGAAGCAAAUUCUGGGAACCUAAAGUUACUAAUUUUCCAGUCAAGCACUGUCGAUAGUAGACCUACUAAAGACUUUUUCCAAACAAGUAAUGGAAAAAUAAAUGGAAAGACUGGAAAAUUGAGCAAAUUGCUGAAAUUUUAGUCAUCUAUAUUAAUUAUUAUGGGUCAUUAGGUGUGGCCAGUAAGAAGGCAACUUAAUUGUAUACUUCGGUUUAUUUUUUCUUGUUAAUUAUCCUCUGAGUAAUUUUUUUUACUUUUAAUGGUUACUAGUAAAAUAGUAUGUCAAUUGUUGUACCUUAAAAGAUAUGUCAAAGUCAAAUAUGACAAGUUAAAACGAAUGUAAGGAAUAUUGAUUUUUAUAUAGCAAAAAAAUAUUAAGUUAUUCAUGUAUAAAUUAAUAUAAUAUUUAUUUAGUAAUUUAGUAACUCGCAAAUAAUACAAAUAAUCAAUAGAUAUAUAUAAUUAAUAUCUAAUUCUAAGUUUAUAACUAAAUAUCAAAUGGCAUGUAUGUGUAGUGGUUGUUCUUGACUUGGAAAUUUUUCAAACUCACAGAAUAGUUUUUUACUUUAUAAUUAGGCUGGUUUCAUGAUACCCCCGGGUCAGCAGCUAACACUCAUUGAAUGAGAUCCUAUUAGAAUAAAGGGAAAAUUACGCAAUAAAUACUAUUUGAUUACUCAUCAUAGCUAUAGUUUGUUAUAAUUAUCAUUUGCGACUAAUUAUAUAUUAAUUAUGUGGAUUGACUUCAAAUUUUGUAUAAUUAGUCAUAUUUGUAUAAGUAUAAUUCGCCAGAAUAUAAAAAUACAUAUGUAUAAUAUACAAUUAUUCAACCUAUAUACAUAUACAAUUCAUCUCUGUCCCACUCUUUGCCCUCUCUCGUUCGCCUCUCUCCUCCCUCUCCCAAUCUUGUUUGCCCUAUAUACAAAUGUAUAUGUAUAAUAUACAAUUAUAUAUAUAUAUAUAUAUAUAUAUAUAUAUAUAUAUACACACACACACCCACACACACAAUUUACCUCUGUCCCACUCUCUACCCUCUCUCGCUCGUCUCUCUCCUUCCUCUCCCAAUCUCUCUUUUCAUAUAUACAAAUACAUAUGUAUAAUAUACAAUUAUCUAACCAAUAAACAUAUACAAUUCACCUUUCUCCCACUCUUUUCCCCUCUCUCUCACCUCUCUCUUCUCUCUCGCAGACUCGCUCGUUUCUCUCCUCCAUAUAACAUAUAGCUAAAAUUAUAAUUAUCAAACUAUGACUAUGAAGAGUAAUUAAUUAUUUUAAAGUGGAUAUAUGUGAAAGUUUUUCAAGAAUAAGUAAGCAUAACGACACACUAUUCCUACUACACAUAUAGUAUUGUUUUAUGAGUAAUUAUUAGUUGUGAAAUUAGAUUUUAGGCCUAAUUCAUAUUUCAAAAGUUAAUUUAGAGUAAGGAUGAUUGUACAAGUCUUCUAAGGAGUCCAUUUUUUCAUUAAUUAUUAAUAUAAGACUUUUGUCAUUCUUUAACAAUGAUCAAUCUCGUGCAGAAAUGAUGAAAAAUAUUUAGUACAAUCUCUUAAACUCCCCUCACACUAUACACAAAUAAGGGUAAAGCUGAAAUUUUAAUUACGAGUUUUCUAGAUUGGAGUUUUUGACUUAAAAGUGAAAAUUACGCAAUUAAAUAAGUAUGUACUAAUUAAUUAUUUAACAUAGCUAUAAUGAAGAAAUUACUUACCGCUAUUAACAUAUAACCUUAUGCAGAUUUUAAAAUUUGUAUGCUAAAUUAUAUAAAUUUUUAUAUGUUUACCCUAGCUUGCUGAUACAUUUGUUGAUUUAUUUGCUUCGUAUAAGUUAUAAAAAAAAAUCCUAAAUGUAUAAAUACUUAAUUUAUAUAUACUUUUUUUGUUUACAUAUUUUACAAAUAGAAUUACAUUAUAUAUAUUAACAAGCGAAUUAUACGAAAUAAAAUAAACAAAACAAACAAAAUUAUAACGAUGAAGCAUAAAUAGGGCUCCUAGUUAAAAAGAAUCUUACUAAAUUUAAUUUCUUUUAUAUGGAGUUCCCUUAAUAUUAUAUGUGUUAGAGAUAUCAAUUGUAUGUUUAAGAUACAAUUGAUAUUAUCCUUUUUAUUUUUCUCUGAAAAGAAGCAAAAAAGAAAAAGAAAAAAGAAACCUGUAAUAUGAUCUUUCCAGAAACAGCCACGUCAGUCAACUUGAUCAUCAACCGUCUAUCACACAUCCCUAUGCAAAAGAUCAUAUCCUACUCCACGUGUAUCAAUAAUAUUGCUUUCUCUCCUUUCAGUGGGUCCCUCUGCCUACUACUAUUUUUCAAUAAAGAAGUAAUUUCCCUUCUAAUCCUUCAACAAAUUCUUAUUAAUUGAAUUUCAUUUUGGUCCUUUGUGAACUUUGGGAAACAUAAUUUAAUCUUGAAAUCAUGAAAAUGCAUAUUUUGAUCUACAUAAAUAAUGGCUGUAUAUUAUUUUGUCUUUACAAUUCAAAUAUUAAGUAAUAGUACAUCCAAUAAUUAAUAAUCCGUUAAGUUUUGAGAAAAUUAUUAAAAAUAAUGUAUUACUAGUAAUUUUGUUUUUCAUGCUAUUCACAUUUUUUAAAAUAUAUUUUUUUAUUUGACUAACUAAAUUUAGAUAUCGCCUGAUCUGCUACAUGAUAUAAUUAGUUGUUUCAGUCUCUUAAUAAAAAACUGAAAGAAGUAUUGAAAACAGUCUUAAAUUUGACGAGAAUUUAGAAAUGUAUUUCACUCAUGUUACAGAAUUAAAAAUAUAUUUAGAUUCAAUUAAUCAUAUAAAUAAACACUUUUUAAAGGUAUCAAUAAUUUAAAAAAUUAAACUAACAAUUCACGUUAAAUUUAUAAUUUUUUUUUUUUAAAAAAAGUUUUUGAAUAUGUAGAAGCAAAAAUAAUAAACAUGCAAAAGCAGGACUAAAAGAAAAUAUUUUCUAAAUAUAAAGGUUCAAAGUUCAAACUAGAAAUGGAAGGAUUUAAGGGCAAAAUGGUAAAAGAAGUGGUUGAUAUUGCUACAGCCGCACGUUAAUUGUAUGAUCCGUAAUCAAAUUUAAUUUGAAAAGGGUAAGAAUAAGAUAUUAAAUUUGGGAUUUUUGGUCCUUAGAAUUUUGGGGAAAGUGGAAAUGGGUAGGGCCUUUGUGUAUGUAAUAUUGGGAGGAGGAGUUGCUGCUGGUUAUGCAGCUCAUGAAUUUGUUAAACGAGGUGUCUCUCAUGGCGAACUAUGCAUCAUCUCUGAAGAACCUGUAAAUAUUACUUCUCUUGUAUUACUUGAUUCCUUACUUUUUUUUUCCUUCUUCGAGCUCAGUUUCAGCAUUCUUUUGAUGUUUUUAUCUUCUUCUUGUUCUUUCUUUAUCUGUGUGUUGCUGCUUAUUUAUUAUAAAACGUUGUAAAUGUUCAAUUUUGUGAAUUCUUAUGCGUGUAAUCCAAUUUGAGUAGGUUUUUUCUUAUCUGAGCUGAAUUUGGGGUUUUGUGAUGACUUUUCGAGUCUAGAAUAAAGUUUAAUUUAUAAUCACAUUGAAACUGUAGCUUCUACAUAGUUUUAGGAGGAACGUAGUGAUACUUGAAUUGGUAGGAUGAAUCCCAAAAAUCUGUUCUGAUUCCAAUAACACUGUCACAUGAUAGAAAUGCUAAUAAUCUGUAGAUCUGAUAUUGAGUUUUUAGUGCAUACCGCCUACUUGUGAAGUGCUGCUGGAAUGGUUAUUUCUUUUUCCUGUUCCUCCCUCUCCUCAUUCAUUUUCUAGGAGGCAAAAAGAUGCAUAAACUUAUCAAUUUAUUUAUCUCUGAUCCAAUUUAAUGUCAUUAGAAAUAAUAAAGAUCAUAGCUUCGAGUAAUCUGCCUCUUUUAUCUAUCUUGAUCUUUUACCUUCCUUGAGUUAAAACUAAUGUCAUUAACAAAGGAAGACCAAAAUUCAUCAGAUGCUUCCUUAUGGAGACAAUCAUUCAAUGGAUGGGUAACACAUGAUGGCUCUCUCUUGUUUGAGCUUCCUGAAGUUUCCUACCUCAUCUUCUAAACUUCUGCUGUUCUUUUCAGGUUGCUCCUUAUGAACGACCUGCAUUAAGCAAGGGUUAUUUACUACCAGAAGGUAUCUCCCAGUCACCUCACCCCUGUUCAGAUUUUUGUCUUAGACAUCUUCCAAGUGGAUGUUAAUGCUUUCUUUAGAUUUAAAGAUAAGUUUUAUUGUGCACUGUAACUUUGGGGAAAUAUCCUACAAGCAUUAAUGGUGGAAUAAUCCCUGGCUCUAGUUACAGUCACUUAACAAGAGUUAUCUGGAUGAAUUGUUUCUUCUUUUCUCUCCUUUGUUCAUUAUUUUUUAACCUUUUGAGAUUUUAUUCUAUGCAGAUCCUGCACGUCUGCCUGCUUUUCAUUGUUGUGUUGGUUCAAAUGAGGAAAGGUUGACACCGAAGUGGUACAAGGAAAACGGUAAAUUUUAAAUAUCUUUUGCUUCCAUUGGCUUUAAAUAUUUUAGCAGGCGUCAUUGUAAUUGAUCAAUUUUUAUUUAUGGUUGUCAUAGAUAUAUUUAGAAUUGUCCAAAGUGAGCAUUGCAGUUACUGACUGCCUUGAACGUAUAAAUGUUAUUGAAUUACUUGCAUAGAGGUUUCACACUAUGUGUUAUUCUAUUGUAGUUGAUGUUGCAGCAUCAUUUUGUUGUUGGCAUUUGCUUAAGGAAUUAAAAAAUCCAGAAGUAAUCACAUAUACUUGACGACAUGCCCAUACACCUCAUUUAAAAAAUGUCUGAAGGAUUACAAAUUAAGAGCUUAACUGGACUGUUCCAAUUAGUUUAAUUCAUCACAUAUGGAUGUCUUCAGGGUCAAGUUUGAUGUUUGUCUCACCUUUUGUAUGACUACCUAUUGAGAGGAUAGUUGUUUCAUAAAAGAAGAAAAAGGAUUAACCUUUUCAUUCAGAAGGUCAUCUUUGCUUGAUGUACUAGAAACCUUGUUAUAUAGGAAGACCAUGAACUAUUUCCUGAUAUUUAAUAUCUUCUUACGUUUCAUGUUUAGCCAACAUUUUGAAAGAUUAGAAUCAGGGGAAAAGAUUUUGAGACUGAGAUCCAUGCUUUUCUUGGGCUGUAAUUAGCUGCAGCAAUACUGGUUUUUAAAUCACGUAAAAUGAAGCUUCAAUAGCCAUAGUCAUCAUAAGGUUUUGGAAUUGAUCUCUUUUCAUGGAAUGCACUAGCUGGGAACGGCAACGAAAAAAUGCUGCUGGUAUAUGGCAUCAGUGAUCAGAAUAUGUUAUUAUGUUGAGCUAUUUCUUUUUUUUUUUGGUUACUUUUUAGUGCAAAAGAAUGAGGUAUUUAAUAUCUUUCCAAGGAUAUUGAUUAGUCAUUGAUUGUUCUAUUGCCUUUAGGCAUUGAGCUGGUCCUUGGAACUCGUGUAAAAUCAGCUGAUGUGAGAAGGAAGACAUUGUUGACCGCAACCGGUGAAACCAUAACCUACAAGAUUCUCAUAGUGGCAACUGGUGCUCGGGUAUCUAAUUUAUCUUCGGGCUCUUCUGCUGUAGCACCAUAUUUUGUUGCAUUUUUUAUGCAUCAAGACAUUAGAGUAGUGUCCUCUUCUGAUGGAAUGAAUAAGCAGGGGCAAAUGCAACUUCAAGUUACUGGGUUCGGAUCCAGUACUUUUGAUGUAGAACAUAAAGUUAUUUGCAACAAAUUGUAGAUGUGAACCCGUAACUUCAAAAAUAUAAUGAGUUCAAUGCUAAGAACCCUUGUGCGUUCUACCCUAAAGGUUCUUAGCAAUGUAAUUUUAUAAGUGGGGUCUUGAGAGGGUAGAGUGUAUGCAAAUCUUACCCCUGCCUCUUUAUCUUUACGAGGUAGGGGUAAAGUAUGCGUAUAACCUACCCUCCCCAGACCCCACUUGUGGGAUUACAGUGGGUAUGUUGCUUGGUUCUUGAGAACCUUAUAGGUGCAGCCCUCCUGGAUCUGUCUCCGUUAAUAAGGUCUAGAUACUUCCUUUAAGUGAUUUCCCAGAGAAGUCAGUGGAUACUGAAAUACAAUUCUGCUGUACCAGCUAGGAAAGAAAAUGAAAAUUCUGUUGUUUCACAAUACCUUAGCUUCUUCACACUAUUGUGCAGGUGAUUUUUAUAGUUUGUUUAUAUCUGUUUUAUUUCUUGGUUCCUCUCCAUAGGGACCGUGAAAAUAAUGUUAAGAAUUAGUAGCAUAAAAAUUGCCCAUACAAUCAUUUUGAUAUGUAUCCUGCAGAAACUAGGUGUCAAGCUUGUUAGCAUAGAUGUUAGGAUUCAUGGACAUUCAGAUGAGUAGAGUUCAUUUAGUUCAGUACUAGAAUUUUGAAACAGAGUUAAAUUAAUUAGUGCGCUCUGAGGGUUCAUGCCAAAAGCUUUAUUUGGUGUGGACUAAGUUCAAUCUCAAAGACCAAGCUCCCUAGUGAACAAUGAAAUUGAAUUUUAUGAAGUCUCUGACUUUUGGUUGGCAUGUUUUGUUAGGCUUUGAAGCUUGAAGAGUUUGGAGUGAGUGGCUCAGAUGCUGAGAGUGUAUGUUAUUUACGGGAUUUGGCUGAUGCAAACAGGCUGGUUAAUGUGAUGCAAUCUAGCGGUGGUGGCAAUGCUGUUGUAAUUGGUGGUGGCUACAUAGGAAUGGAAUGUGCUGCUUCUUUGGUGAUCGGCAAAAUAAAUGUCACCAUGGUCUUUCCAGAAGCACACUGUAGUAAGUAUUCUUUUGUGAAGAUGGAAAGCUUUCGUUUCUUUUUUUAACUCGAGUUUCUUUAGGUUGCUUGUAAAUUAUAUUCUUUUGUGAAGUUGGAGAACUUUCUUUUCUGUUUCUUACUCGAGUUUCUUUAGAUUGCUUGUAAUAUAUCAGAAGUAAGAACUGUGUUUUCUCCUCUCUAGAGAAUUAUGUAUUAGUAUAACUUUAGUAGUUGCGUUUUAUCCAGAAAAUACAAACCACAAUCUGAAAUCUAGUACAUGCCUUACUCUCCAAACCAUGCUAUUAGUACAGAAAACAGUGAUCUCAGUAAUCAACAAAUGCUAUAAAGAUAUGAAAAUUGAUCAGAAUGUGGGACUUCUGCCCUCAUAUUUCCUCAAAAUAUGAAAUCAUCGAUUGAAAGCUUAUGUAUGAGAAAAACUGAUUUGUUUCUUAAUUCUCAAAACCCAAAGUCCAAGAGUUACUUACAGAUAUAAACCAUAAAUGUGCAACCAUUGCUGUUCUAUCUUAAGUUCAUCAGUAAACAAACUGUUGUUUUUUCUAAUGAUUUUAUAAAGCAUUUAAUUUUCUUCCCUUUUCUUUUGUUGUUAGUGGCCCGCCUAUUUACUCCUAAAAUUGCAAGUUUCUACGAAGAAUUUUACCGGUCAAAAGGAGUUAAGUUUGUGAAAGGCACGGUCUUGACAUCAUUUGAUUUCGACUCCAAUGAUAAGGUAAAGCCUGUUGCUUGCUUCACUUUGGUGGUGUUUUCUUUGAAAGCUGUUCGCAGACGUGUUUGUUUGAACUGCUUUUUCAUUUACCUCUUCUUGAACAUUUCCAACCUCAAUUUCACUAGGUACUUUGUUAAUGCAAACUCAGUUUAUUAGUUUCUGAAAACAGCUUCUAUUUGUUAUCCUUUUUUAUUUGAAUAAGAAAAGGUUAACUUUUACUGAAAGAGUGAAUAUUCUUGAACUCCGUUUAACAAGUCACUUUGUUAAGCUGGAACUAACAUUAAUCAUCAUUUCACAAUUUUAUAUAUCACUGAAGUUAUAAUGGACAUGAUGCUUGAAUGCGGGGACCUUUUAUGUAGAUGACUGCGGUGAAUUUGAGAGAUGGAACCAAGCUACCUGCUGACAUGGUCAUCGUAGGCAUUGGAAUUCGACCAAAUACCAGCCUCUUUGAAGGGCAACUUACUCUUGAGAAAGGAGGGAUAAAAGUCAAUGGCCAAAUGCAGUCAAGCAACAGCUCAGUCUAUGCUGUUGGGGAUGUUGCAACUUUUCCUGUCAAAAUUUUCGGUGAGACGCGGAGACUUGAACACGUUGAUUCUGCAAGGAAGUCAGCAAGGCAUGCAGUUGCUGCAAUCAUGGAACCAGAGAAAACAACAGAGUUUGACUACUUGCCAUUCUUCUACUCCAGAGUCUUCACACUCUCUUGGCAGUUCUAUGGUGACAGUACUGGUGAUGUAGUCCAUUUUGGGGAUUUCUUGGGGAAUAGCUUUGGUGCAUAUUGGGUGAACAAAGGUCACGUCGUUGGGUCUUUUCUAGAGGGUGGAACCAAAGAGGAGUAUGAGGCUAUUGCAAAGAUCACAAGGCUCAAACCAGCAAUUGAGGACUUGUCUGAUCUCGAAACGCAGGGUUUAGGAUUUGCAUUGACAUUGAGUGAUAAACCAGAGCCAUCGGAGGCUGUUGUUGUCAGCAGUAGUUCGGGUUCCACUUUUGUAACAGAGAAACCUUUACAUGUUUGGCAUGCAACAGCUGGAGUCAUUUUGGCUGCUUCAAUUGCUGCCUUUGCAUACUGGUAUGGUAGGAGGCGUAGAAGGUGGUAAAUGUCUUGUUCCCCACGGAAGAUUUUUACACGUCGAUUCCUGCUGUGUUGUAUGAUUUUAGCUUAGAGAAUUUGAAAUACUUGGCCUGUAAAUGGCUUCAAUUUUACAAACAUGUAUUCUGUCUUUACAGUAUAUAUCAAUACACAUUAUCCUCAAUCCCUCAGCAUGCUCUCUUUAUGUUCAAAUUGCUUAUGUUUUGACAGUAGAUAUUAAUUGGAGGAACCUUAAAAUGACAAGGAAGAAAAUCAAUGCUAUUGGUGGAUACUCUUGAAAAAUUGGAGCUUAAUAUCUCAGAUUAUUAGUCUCAACCUAUCAAUUAAACGACUCCAAAAUGGUACAUUCAAGUUAGAAGAGAAACAGACGUGUCACCAUUUUAAUUUAGACAUAAUACAUAAAUGUGUCAAUUAACUUGAUUUUAACAGAUAUGUAUGAUUUUCAACUUUGGUUGCAAUUUAGAGUUGUAUCAGUUGAACAACUAUACAUAUAUGUCUAAUAUGAUGUUCUACGUGACAAUUCAUGUUUUGUGUGUAUUAUAUACACAAAACACAUGUGUCUAUUUGUUUAAGUUGUGAAAUGCAGCCACCAUGAAUCUAUGCCAUCGAUUUAGGGCUGAGCUAAAGGUAGCAUGAACUAAAAUGGUGAAGAAAGCAAUUUACAGAAGGAAGAAAAAUAGGGAGAAUCUUAUUCCACAGAAUCAUACAAAAUUACACAGAAAUUGAUACAAGGCUAUAUAUAUAUAUAUACACUGCUAACUCUAACCGAAGGCUCAAACAUUCUUUCCUCGCUCAUUGCUGUUACUAUCUAUCGAAGUAAUUCUACAUAAGUUAGUUACACUUUAAAUAACUGCCACGUCACUAGGCUCAAUAUAAAUUUAUAUAAGUUUGAGUGUCAAUAUAUGCAUACCUAAAGUUGAAGUGCGUACAUGUCUACUACAAGUAAAUUAAAUGAUAUAUUUAUUAUUAUCCUAUAAUUAACUCAUGAGAGCACAUGAAUUUCAAAGCAGGGCAUUUGGUCUAGUGGUAUGAUUCUCGCUUUGGGUGCGAGAGGUCCCGAGUUCGAUUCUCGGAAUGCCCCGCUCUUUUUUAUAGUAAUUGCAGUUUUAAAAUCAGUAUUAGUAAGGUUUAUAUAAUCUAAAAUAGUAUUAUUAUUAGCGUAUAAUUCGCUAUACAUAUACAAGUGUAUAAUUCGCUGGCCUAUUUCGCUGCAAUUGUAUAAUUUGCUUUGCAUAUAGUUGAAUCGAAUUAAAAUUAUAUAUAUUUUUCUCGCUUUAUACAAAUUGUAUUUCACUGCAAUUGUAUAAUUCGUUGGUCUCAGCAAUUUUUGAAGUAAAAUGUUUGUAAAUUGUAUAAUUAAGUGUAUAACACGAAGAUAUACAUUUUUGCAUGUGUAUAUAUACAAUUUUCUCUCGCUUUAUACAAAACAGAAACAGAAUUAUACACUUCUGUGUAUAAAGCGAGAAUGGAGAGUGGCGAGCGAGAUUCCUAGGAGAGAGACGCUGGCAAAUUUUAAAUAAUUUUGCUAUGGAGCACAAUUAAAUCAAACCUUAACUAUUAUAUUUAAUUUAGGUUAUUAAUUUGCUAUUUUAUACGAUUUUUCAAAAAAAAAAAACAGGGAACUACAUAUUGACCUUAUCAACACAAUUUUUCAAUCCCCUUAUCCUAAUUUUUGUAUCUCCCUCUUUCACUCUCCCAAUUUCUCUUUAGCUCAGCUACAAUGGCUUCCACAUUAUCCACAAUUACCCUUCGUUCUCCCUCUCCUAUUUCUCCAGCAACCGCAAGCUCCACGCACGCUUCAAUUUCCUUCCCCACCAAAACCCUAGAACUUCCCAUUCGCACUCCCAAACUGUACCACCGCCGGGCAACUCUCGUCCGCCCUCUCGCCGCCGUCGAAGCACCGGAGAAGGUAGUCCAGCUCGGAGAUGAAAUCUCCAACUUAACCCUCGCUGAUGCCCAGAAACUCGUCGAGUACCUUCAGGAUAAGCUUGGAGUUUCAGCCGCAUCCUUCGCUCCCGCUGCCGUCGUCGCUUCCCCUGGUGGCGCAGCCGCAGAUGCUCCAGCUGUGGUUGAGGAGAAGACGGAAUUUGAUGUAGUCAUCGAUGAAGUGCCGAGUAAUGCUAGAAUUGCGACCAUUAAGGCUGUUAGGGCUUUAACAAGUUUGGCAUUGAAAGAGGCUAAGGAAUUGAUUGAAGGAUUGCCUAAGAAAUUUAAGGAGGGUGUUUCCAAGGAUGAGGCUGAAGAUGCUAAGAAACAACUUGAAGAAGCUGGUGCUAAAGUUUCUAUUGCUUAAACAAAUUUGUGGUAAAUGUUCGUUCUUAGUUGUGUUUUCGCAAGAGAAUUCAGUUGUUAGAUAUACUUGUACUCAAUUUUCUCAAAUCAAGUUUUUUCAGUCGUCUUUGCUUAUGAUUUGUGAUUGUUCCAGUUUUAAUUGUUAGUGUGUUUGUUGUUUGAUGACUUGGUCUCACAAUCAGGCAGGCGAGCAGACAUAAUCUUAGCUUGAGCCUACUGUCGCACACCUCUGUUGAGUGUUAAUAAUGUGAGUGAUAUAACUAAUUGGGAUCACUCUAUGCUUGAAUUAUGAUCCAAAAAUUAUUGGUUCUUAUGUUGAUCAAUCUCAACAAUAUGCAACUCCACUGUAUAAUAUGAGUUAGGUUAUCUCAUUUUGGUCAUGAAAAAUAAGCUGAUAACUGAAAUGCAAUCAACUGUUGAACCAUGUGACCUCUCUGUACUCUGCUAUAGUGCAAAGAUCACAGGGCUUAAACCAGCAAUUGAGGGCUAUGGAUUUCGCAUUGACAUUGAGUAGUUAAGCACAGCCAUCAGAGGCUGUUGUUGUCAGAUUCCAGUCUUGUACAUGCUUGGCUGCAUCAAUUGAUGCUUUUGCAUACUAUAUUGUUGAAGAAGCAUUUCCCCUACAACAUUUUACACAUCAAUUCUAGUUGUGUCGUAUUAUUUUAGCUUUUACUUAAUUCGGAAUACUUAGCCUGAAAUGGCUUACAAAUAUGUGUUGUCUUUUAGGGGAUAUAUCAGUAUCCCCAGAAUGCUCUCUCAUGUCCAUAAUGCUUAUGACACUGGUAGCUGUAAUAGGAGAAAAAGGCAGCUUCAAAAUGUCUGUGAAGAAAGUAGUGAAUUCAUGCAUUUUUUGUUUCAACGUCAGGCAGGCAUUUUGAAUGCUAAAUCUCAUACUUGAAAAGGAAAAUUCUAGUUUGAAGUGAAUAGCACUUAAACCUGUGACCAAUUGACCAUUUCAAUUUGGAACUUGGUAUAAAUACAAUACUAUCUGCAAGAUAGUUCUUUUUCUCUAGUAAAGAUGAUAGUUUAAGGAUGGGAAUAUAUCUCAUUUGCUCCAAGAAGAUUUUGCAGCCCCCUUUCAUUAGGAAAUCAUUAAGGUUUUACGAUAAAUAUAAAUAGUACUCCCUCCGUCCGGUAUUAUUUGUCAUGAUUUUUAUUUUUAGAGUCAAACCACAAAAAUUUUGACUAACAAUUUAAGAUGUAUUUUGCGAUCAUAUUAAUAUGCAAAAAAUUAUAAUUUGUAGUAUUUUUUAAUAUAGUUUUAAAAUAUCUAAUUUUUUGGUUCAAACUAUCGAAUUGUGAUCUUAUUUACCUUUAAAAAUUAGUCAAAUUAAUUUUCGAUAAAUACAAUAUGACAAACAAUUUCGAAUAAAUAAUUCUGAACGGAGAAAGUAGUCUAGAACUAUGAGUACACGAAUAUCGAAGCAGGGCAUUUGGUCUAGUGGUAUGAUUCUCGCUUUGGGUGCGAGAGGUCCCGAGUUCGAUUCUCGGAAUGCCCCGCUAUUUUUUUUUAUAUUUUGGAACACCACUAAAAAUAUAUAUAUCUAAUUUGGUACUUAGGAUCGAAAGAAAAAUAUAUAUUUAAAUCUUCUUAAUUUCAUAGAUAUGUAAAUUAGUGAGGUUAACGUUCUUCCAGCAUCUCAUUACAUAAAGAUGAGCCCCACCCACCCAAUUAGAGGCUCCGAGGAAUUAAUAAAUCAACAGAAAAAGCUCAAAAAUAUCUUAAAUUAUUUUUGAAAUAGUUUAUACUUACUUUUAAAUUAUAUUUCGAUUUAAAUUAUCCUUCCCAUCAUACUAUUGAUCAAAAUAUCCUUCUUGUUAACUGAAAAUAUUAAAUGUCACAUGUCAUGCCACGUACAUACCACAAUUUCAUUCAUUCCACAUAGACUAAUAUUCUUAAUCCCACUUUUUUCCCUCAUUUCUCAAUUUCCAUUUGAAACCAAUUUCACGCCCCCAUUUCCCCUCAUUUCUCCAUUUCCCUUAGAAACGAUUUCAUUCAUUUCCCAAAAAUUUCACUCAUUUCUCCAUUUCCCUUAGAUGGAUUAAAACUUAUUUGAAAUCAUUUAUGUUGGAGAGUCCUAACUAGAAAGUAAACUCUGUAAUGGAAAAAGAAGUUAGUUUUCAGUAUUUUCACACUGUAAAUGGAUAGAUGAUAACAGAAUUUCAACUGAAAAUAGAAGUAAAACCUAGAGAUUUAAUGUCUUACUUGACUCUAGGAAACUUGAUUAUUACUUCUCAGGAAAAUUUUAAAAAUAUGAGAAAUUUUGUGAGGAAUUUUCAUGAAUUGCACUCUACAUAGUUAGUUAUAACUAUUCUAGACAGUUACAUCAAUGUAAAUGAAUUAUCCAGUAACAUUAUUCACUAUAGUUUGAAAAACAAACACUUGCCAUUACUCAAUCCACUAAGCCAUGAAAUUGAACAUGUAAACAGAAAUAAGCUAAAACUAAGACAAUGUUACUGCAAUGAGUGGAAAAUUAGGGAGAUGGAUUAAAUCAUUUAUAAGGGAAUUAGAGAAAUGAGGGGGAAAGGGGUGGGUGAAAUGGCGGCUUCAAAUGGAAAUUGAGUAAUGAGGGGAAAAAUUUGGGAUCAGGAGUAUUCGUCUAUAUGGAAAUGAAUGAAAUUAUUGUGCUUACGUGCAUGUCGGUAUUUAUCAGUUUCAGUUAAUAAGAAGGGUAUUUUUGAUUCAAUAGUAUAAUCAAAAGGAUAGUUUUGAAUCGAAAUAUAGUUUAAGAAUAUAUAUGAGCUAUUUCAAAUAGUUUAAAGGUAUUGUUAAGCCUUUUUCGUAAAUCAAAUAAUAUUCAACGGAGAGCCUUAGUGAUUACUUUCUCCGUUUAAAAAAGAAUGUCCAUAUUUCUUUUUUAGUUUGUUUAAAAAAGAAUUACCCCUUUCCUUCUUUGACAAUAAUUUAACUUUAACUUUUCACAUGUCAUGUUUAAGAACACAAGAUUAAAGGACACUUUGAUACAUUUACAUAACUUUAAUUUAGACACAAAAUUAAUAAAAUCUUUUUUUUUUCUUAAAUUCUAUUCCAUAUCAAACUAUAUCAUAUUUUUAAAAUGGAGGAUGUAAUAUAUAUACUAUUAAUUUUUUUUUAAAACAGGUAAAUAAGAGAGAGAAAAUCUCUCAAAUUCACAUUCUUGUGGAGUUUCCAAGGUUGGAUUUUUUAAAGAAAUUAUUACUACAGCGAAAUAGUAAUAUUAGUGUUUAUUAUAAAUAUUAAAUUAUUUUAGUUUAGCUUAGUUUAUAUCUCUAAAAAGUAAAAACCUACGAAGAGCCUGUUUGAAUUGGUGUUUAGUUUGACUUAUUUUUUUUUAAUCAUUUUAGUUUAAUUUAGCUCGUUAAAAAUAAGUGAAUCAGGCCCUCACUAAAUUUCUUUUUUCUCCAAUAAAAUUUCAAUAAUAAUGGAUUAAAAUAAAAAAUAAAAAAUGAGACCCUAUAUAUAACCUUAUCAACACAAUAUUCAUUCCUCUUAUCCUAUUUUUUCUUGCUCCCUCUUUCAUUUCCUCUCCUCAAUUUCUCUUUUGCUCUGCUACAAUGGCUUCCACAUUAUCCACUAUUGCCCUUUGUUCACCUUCUCACAUUUCCCCCUCCACACACGCUUCAAUUUCUUUCCCCACCAAAACCCUACAACUCCCCAUUCGCACUUCCAAACUCCACCACCGCCGAGCCACUUUUGUCCGCCCUCUCGCCGCCGUCGAAGCACCGGAGAAGGUAGUCCAGCUCGGGGAUGAAAUCUCCACUUUAACCCUAGCUGACGCCCAGAAACUGGUUGAGUACCUUCAGGAUAAGCUUGGUGUUUCAGCCGCAUCCUUCGCUCCUGCUGCCGUUGUCGCUGCCCCUGGUGGCGCAGCCGCAGAUGCUCCAGCUGUGGUUGAAGAGAAGACGGAAUUUGACGUAGUCAUCGAUGAAGUGCCGAGUAAUGCUA